UCCCUGAGUAGUGGCGAGCGAAAAGGGAACAGCCCAGCGCACAAUCUCCCGGUCUACCAAGGCCGCGGCGAAAUUUUGCGUAUAGGGAAGGGUCGUUUACAGCCUCGUGCCACCGUCUGAUGUGCCUAACCGUGAUCUGAAAUGUUCACGCACGUUGGGUGCUCUAUCUUUCGGGGUAAGCGCUCGAUACACGGUUCCAUGGUGGGUGCAAGCCCCGUAUGGCCGCGUGAGAGUGUGCACUAAGGCUCGGCCUCAUUUUCCCUGAGAGUCGCGUUGUUUGAACAUACAGCGCUAAUCAGGAGGUAAACUCCUCCUAAGGCUAAAUACUUCCACAGCGCCGAUAGAAAACAAGUACCGCGAGGGAAAGUUGAAAAGAACUUUGAAGAGAGAGUUCAGUCAUAGCUGUUUCCUGA
rnacentral:rRNA from 1 species